GAGUGCAGUUUCGACAUCAGUAUGCGAUAUUUUUCUUCUAAAAAACCACGCCUUUAUUACGUUGAAUUUGUUUGUCACAAUUGGUAAGUGAAUUCUUUAAUUUCCUGACAACACAAUGGGCCUGUUGCAAACUUUUGCUAGAGCGAAAAUAAGUGUUGUUCCUUGUAGUAAAUGACUCAAAAAUCACGAUGAGCGCAUUGGCAAACUCUGAAAUGCACUCUGAACUUCACAAUCUGCGUAAGAAAAAUGCGUUUUUUUGAGCUUCCCGCUUCAAAAAGGAUACUACGGCACAGGUGAACAUUUCGUAAGAGGAGUCGUUCCAUCAUACCCUUCCGCAUUGAGAUGCUGCGCAAUCUUCAAAAUGGCCGACGCCGUGACGAAAACACAUUACGACGGGACGAGAUUCUAACCUCUAACCACCUGUUAGUAACCGGCAUAUCUGUUGUGUUGUGAAUCGUGAUAGUGUUUUUUUUCCGGUUUUGGAUAUGGCUAACUACAGUUUCUACGUACGGUGUUUUGUGCCGGGUUGUGAAUCGACCUCGAUCACAACCCCCACGAAAAUAUUUUUAAUGUUCCUCGGGGAAACGAGAGAGAAAAGUGGAGUGCUGCGGUUGGGGUCCGGAGAACCCUCUCCAAAUCCACACCUCACCGGUGCUGUGAGGAUCAUUUUAAUCUUGAAACUGAUCUCAAAGAUAAAUUCAAACUGAAAAAAGGAAUUCUGCCGCACAUUAACAUACCUAACAACACUGCUGAGGUUCUGCUUCCUACCGGUGAUUCUAAUGCUAGCCCUCACAUAGUUGCAGAAACUGAUGAUCACCAGGUAUCUCCUAUCGGUGACUCUAAUGCCAGCCCUCAAAUAGUGGCAAAAACUGAUGAUCACCAGAUUUUACAAAUCCAUGAUCGGCCCAACUCUCCAAGAAUAUCUAAUUUCAGUGAUGAAACAGAGAUUGAAGCUAGUCAUCAACAGCUAAAUGCAACAAGUGCAUCUACAUGCAGCCAUAAACCAGUGGCUAAAGCCAGCCAUCAGCAGCUGUUUGCAGCAAGUACGUCCACGUACAGCCAUGAUUCAGUGGCCAGAGUUAGUCAUCAGCAACAGCCUUCUAAUAUUGAACAAAAACCGUGCUCAUUAUGUGGAUGUAAAGGAUUGUGCAGUGCUUAUAGAGCGUUGACCAUUGAUAAGACCACCCAUCAGCCUUCUCUUCAGAUUUUUCCGAGGAGAAAAGCUGCAAAUUGCUGGUUUUUAUUAACUUAUUUGAAUGUACUGAUGCUGAAAGGAAUCAGGCCACAAAAUUUCAAUUCUUAUUUUUGGACAAAAAAACAGCAUUUCCAAAUUUCAAAAUACAAAAUUUCAACAAAAUUUUCGCUAACCUGCUAAAUUUGGUGACAAUUUCAUUCUAAAUUCCUACUUGAUAUUUGAUUGAUAAGAACUUUGCUCAGUUAUCCUCAAAGUUUUGUACUCAGUAUAAUGUAUCUUCAAACUUUUUGCUUACUAUAGGAAAUCAUAAUCAUUCAUCAUCUUAUCUUUACACAAAAACGCAAACAAGCGAAGUAACUUACAAAGUGAGGUUGUGCAGUGUCCCACCAAGAUUUUGAUUAGAGUGUCUCCAAAACUUUCUUUAUAUAAAAUUAUUGGAUCCCUAUUUUUCCAUUUUUGCGAAUGGACCUUGGAAGUUUCAACAGAAAUUUUAUAAAAAAACAAGCAUGAAGAGCCGCUCGGUGAAGGAGCAAACUGACAUGCAUAUAGUUUCAGCACAGAGACAGUCUUACACUCAAGACUGUUGCGCAUUGCACAACAUGUCCCAGGGUUUACUCCUCAGCGUCUCACCAUAAUUUUUAUUCCUCUCUCUGAAUGAUUCCUUUUGCUUUUUUCUGACUUCCAACUGUGAAUAUAAUAAUCAUUUUCUGAAUACAUUAUUUUAUAAAAUGAUAAAGGAAUAAAAGUAUGAUGAGACGCCAUGGAUUGAACCUGGGACUUGUCGGCCAAUGUGCAAUGCUCCUGAAUGACUACCUUACAGGUGAGGCAACACAUGCAUCAGUUUGCAACUACAGCAAGCGGCCUUUUUUGCCAGUUUUUUUUUUAAACUUCCAGAGCCCACUCGCAAAACAACAAAAUAGAGAUCCAAUAAUUUGUGUGAAGAAACCUUUAGCCACGCCCCAAUCAAAAUAGAGAAAUCUUGGGUCUCCACUGCAGCUGGCUUUACACCUGAUUCAAUUUAAACUUUCAUCAUAUUUUUACAGUAUAAAUGGUGGGCUUAUUUUGUAAUUGAGAGGCUUGGAAGACAAGUGGAAUAAGUGCAGUUUUUGAAAAAAUUGAGAUAUUAAUGAUUUUGACUAAAACUAGCUCUACUGUAUAUUCUGUGAAUAAUUCGCUACCUAAAAUCAAUUUUAAGAAUCUAAAAGUGAGUUUGAACUCUUUUUCUGCC
rnacentral:lncRNA from 1 species